UUUUUUUUUCUGUUUUCUGAACAUACUCAAUCAUUUUCAUUUCAGUUAUGAGAAUGGUAUAAACUGAUAAUAUCAGACCAGUGUCUGAUUUCUUUGUGGUUAAAAAUUCCAGAUAUGACCAACCAUAAGGAGUUAAUGAUUUACCCACCUGGGGCUUGAAAGGGUUACUUUCCCAUGGAAAGAUGCCCAUUAAUAAAUACUGUAUUUCUGUAGCUUCUACAACUAUCUCAAACUUAUGAUGUUAUCUAUGUAUCUUGAAAAAGAAUGACCUUAUUGCUAUUCCCUUAGAAGAGUCCACCUACCCCAAAAUUACACUGGAAAAAAGGGAAACUAUAUAGUCUAAGAGGGAAGCAAGGAUGGCUUGUACUUUUCACCUGCUUUUCCCAGUUGUGUCAGUUCCAUGACCCUAGAAUAAGAGAGGGAAAAUAGUGGUGGACAUGGAAAAUCAACAAUUUCUCAAAGAUUAAUCUAUUAACUAAAGUUAAUAGAUUUUUUAAUUAAUUUUUUUAAUAAUUUUAAUUAAUUUUUUAAUUAAUUAACUGCAGUUUUGAUGGAAGUAGAACAAAAAGAACACACUAUUAGGACAUAUGAAUGUACUAAAAAUAGGCUCCUAGAAUGUAUGACAAACAUGAAUCUCUCAAACAUGAUAAAAUUUCUCUACUAUCACUGAUCUAUAAAUCCAAGAUAAUUUUGACUUGCCAAAUAAUAUUAUUUUCUUUUUCUUCCUUCCUUCCUUCCUUCCUUAUUUCCUUCCUUCCUUCCUUCCUUAUUUCCUUCCUUCCUUCCUUCCUUAUUUCCUUCCUUCCUUCCUUAUUUCCUUCCUUCCUUCCUUCCUUCUUUCCUUCCUUCCUUCCUUCCUUCUUUCCUUCCUUCCUUCCUUCUUUCCUUCCUUCCUUCCUUCUUUCCUUCCUUCCUUCCUUAUUUCCUUCCUUCCUUCCUUCCUUCCUGUCCUUAUUGAUCAAUCAAUCAGUCAAUCAAU
rnacentral:lncRNA from 1 species